CAAGAUUGAUAUAAAGGUAACUGAGAAACAUAUAAAAGAUUUUGAGCCAAGGCCAAGUGGCACAAGGUAUGACGGUGAUGGUUAUAAAAGCGAGAAGCUACGAGUGUACUCUGAGUUUGAACCUAGGCCAAGUGCUACAAAGUAUGAUGGUGAUGGUGAAGGUUAUAAGACUAUUAAACUACCAGGGAAUGACGAAUUUGAACCCAUACCAAGUGUUACAAGGUAUGAUGGUGAUGGUUAUAAGAGUAUGAAACUAUCGGGGAAUGAUGAGUUUGAACCCAGACCAAGUGUUACAAGGUAUGACGGUGACGGUUAUCAGAGUACAAAACUAUCGGUGAAUAAUGAGUUUGAACCUAUACCAAGUGUUACAAAGUAUGGCGGUGAUGGUUAUAAGAAUACCAAAUUAUCGGUGAAUAGUGAGUUUGAACCCAUACCAAGUGUUACAAGUUAUGGCAGUGAUGGCUAUAAGAGUAUGAAACUACCGGUUAAUGACGAGUUUGAACCCAGACCAAGUGCUACAAAGUAUGAUGGUGAUGGUUAUCAGAGUACAAAACUAUCGGUGAACAGUGAGUUUGAACCCAUACCAAGUGUUACAAGUUAUGGCAGUGAUGGCUAUAAGAGUAUGAAACUACCGGUUAACGACGAGUUUGAACCCAGACCAAGUGCUACAAGGUAU
rnacentral:lncRNA from 1 species